rnacentral:rRNA from 1 species
UCUUUUUAUUGUGUGCCAGCAGCCGCGGUAAUACGGAAGGUCCGGGCGUUAUCCGGAUUUAUUGGGUUUAAAGGGAGCGUAGGCCGGAGAUUAAGCGUGUUGUGAAAUGUAGAUGCUCAACAUCUGAACUGCAGCGCGAACUGGUUUCCUUGAGUACGCACAAAGUGGGCGGAAUUCGUGGUGUAGCGGUGAAAUGCUUAGAUAUCACGAAGAACUCCGAUUGCGAAGGCAGCUCACUGGAGCGCAACUGACGCUGAAGCUCGAAAGUGCGGGUAUCGAACAGG